GGGUUUGAUCCUGCACUCAGGAUAAACCUCCACUAGUAAUACGGCAAGUCGAGGCAGAUAAGGAGCUUGCUCCUUUUCGUUAUCGACGGACGGUAGUAAGCGUGGUAACUACCUAUAGCCUGGAAUAACUGCGGAAACCGGGUAAUAGCGGAUGCAUAUACAUCCGCAUGUUCUAUAGUAAAAAUGGUUGGAACACUAUAUGGUGCGCCGGUUUAGCUAGGGUAAGGUAAUGCUUAACAAACAACAAGCGAUCGCCUAGAGGGUGCGACCCGCUGUAACUGUGGCUCGGUCCACUCCUCGGGAGGCACCGUAGGAAUCUCCCAAUGGCGAAAGCCUGGCGAACACCCGCGUAUGAUGAGGCUUCGGCUCGUAAACUCGUUAUUAGGGAAAGCAGUAAGUAUCUGGCACAUCUUGGCGGUACUAAUCAAGAGACCGGC
rnacentral:rRNA from 1 species